rnacentral:rRNA from 1 species
UACGUAGGUGGCAAGCGUUGUCCGGAUUUACUGGGCGUAAAGAGCGCGCAGGCGGUCGGAUAAGUCGAAUGUGAAAGCCCCCGGCUCAACUGGGGAGGGUCAUUCGAUACUGUUCGACUCGAAGGCAGGAGAGGGAAGUGGAAUUCCCGGUGUAGUGGUGAAAUGCGUAGAUAUCGGGAGGAACACCAGUGGCGAAGGCGACGUCCUGGCCUGUUCUUGACGCUGAGGCGCGAAAGCUAGGGGAGCAAACGGG